CCCUAGCCGCGAUUGCAGCCGGUAUCCUUUUUUGACUGAGGAACGAAGGCGAAAAAGAUAAAGGCGGAAAGCGGGAAUCAGC
rnacentral:sRNA from 1 species